GAUGAAGAACGUAGCGAAAUGCGAUACUUGGUGUGAAUUGCAGAAUCCCGUGAACCAUCGAGUCUUUGAACGCAAGUUGCGCCCGAAGCCACUGGGCCGAGGGCACGCCUGCCUGGGCGUCACACGCCGUUGCCCCCCCAUCUACUCCUUCGGGAUUGCGGGGGGGCGGAUGAUGGCCUCCCGUGCGCCUAGCCGCGCGGUUGGCAUAAAUACCAAGUCCUCGGCGACGCACGCCACGACAAUCGGUGGUUGCGAAACCUCGGUUGCCCGUCGUGUGCGUUCGUCGCGCAUCGAGGGCUCGAAAAAAUGCUCGGCUCCGGCUGGGCUUUCAACGCGACCCCAGGUCAGGCGGGGUUACCCGCUGAAUUUAAGCAUAUCAAUAAGCGGAGGA
rnacentral:misc_RNA from 1 species